AGAGUUUGAUCAUGGCUCAGAACGAACGCUGGCGGCAGGCUUAACACAUGCAAGUCGAACGCAUCCUUCGGGGUGAGUGGCAGACGGGUGAGUAACGCGUGGGGAACGUGCCCUUCAGUUCGGAAUAACCCAGGGAAACUUGGGCUAAUACCGGAUACGUGCGAGAGCAGAAAGAUUUAUCGCUGAAGGAUCGGCCCGCGUCUGAUUAGCUAGUUGGUGAGGUAAUGGCUCACCAAGGCGACGAUCAGUAGCUGGUCUGAGAGGAUGAUCAGCCACAUUGGGACUGAGACACGGCCCAAACUCCUACGGGAGGCAGCAGUGGGGAAUAUUGGACAAUGGGCGCAAGCCUGAUCCAGCCAUGCCGCGUGAGUGAUGAAGGCCUUAGGGUUGUAAAGCUCUUUCGUCCGGGACGAUAAUGACGGUACCGGAAGAAGAAGCCCCGGCUAACUUCGUGCCAGCAGCCGCGGUAAUACGAAGGGGGCUAGCGUUGUUCGGAAUCACUGGGCGUAAAGGGCGCGUAGGCGGCUUGAUAAGUCGGGGGGUGAAAGCCUGUGGCUCAACCACAGAAUUGCCUUCGAUACUGUCUGGCUUGAGACCGGAAGAGGUAAGUGGAACUGCGAGUGUAGAGGUGAAAUUCGUAGAUAUUCGCAAGAACACCAGUGGCGAAGGCGGCUUACUGGUCCGGUUCUGACGCUGAGGCGCGAAAGCGUGGGGAGCAAACAGGAUUAGAUACCCUAGUAGUCC
rnacentral:rRNA from 1 species